ACACCUCGAGUCUACCUCUAAUAUUCGUCAUAGAGGUUUCAACACAACCCAAUCAAUGAACCUUUCGCCAUAAGUCACAAGUCCUCGUCUCUCACGAGCCUUAUUCUCCUAUGGUUUACUAUCCUAGGGUCUCCUAGGUCCAUCUAAACCAUUGCCCAUUCUCUACUUUAUGCUCUGAUACCACUUUAUCUGUCACGCCCCGAGCACCGCCUAUUUGGCCGAGUUCGGGCGCGACGACAGACCACCGAACGGACAGAGUUUUUCCUGUACGUCCUAGGCGUCGCAAUCAAUACAAUGAACAUUACAAGGGUUCCAACCAGGAACAAAUAUUAAUCAUGAUUGAAUAAG
rnacentral:lncRNA from 1 species